rnacentral:sRNA from 1 species
UCCUCGAUCUGCUGCGGGCAGAUGAAAUGGAUAUGCGCGUCGAAGCCGCCGGCGGUGAGGAUCUUGCCUUCGCCGGCGAUCGCCUCCGUGCCGGGGCCGACGAUGAUGGUGACGCCGGGCUGCGUAUCGGGGUUGCCGGCCUUGCCGAUGCCUGAGAUGCGCCCGUCCUUGAGCCCGAUAUCGGCCUUGUAGAUGCCGGUGACGUCGACGACCAGCGCAUUGGUGAUGACGGUAUCGACGGCGCCGUCGGCGCGCGCCGCCUGGCUCUGGCCCAUGCCGUCGCGGA